rnacentral:sRNA from 1 species
AAGCUAAUCAAAUUUGGUAUUUUUUUUAGUUUAUUUAAAUGAGCAGCUUUUGAACAUGUGCAGUCAUUUACAUGUAUAUUGUGUUGUAUUGGUGGUCUAAAACUGAAUACUGGAAUAUAGAUAUUAAUAUUAAUGUUUAUUAAUUUUGUUUGCCAAAUUGUGUGAUUCAAGUAAUUAUAAUUUAAUACCUUAAUAUUUUGUGUAAUUUAAAUCACUGAAUGUUUACACUUUCAUUGUCCUGAUGAACAUUGCUGUUAGCAUAGCAUAUUUAUAUGUAUGUUGUAAUUUAUUACUAGGAAUCAAGAUUCAUCAAUCAACAUGUUAGGGAGAAAAUUAAGUUUAUGAACUACAUUGAAUUGGUUUAUGUUCCCAGUUUCUUUAUGCCUUUUAAAGUCUGCUAUGAACAUUAAGCAGUUUUCAUUCUGGUACGUUCCAUGUAGUUUGAACUUAGACAAUUACUGUAUAUACAGUGUAUUUAAAAAUGUGAAUUAAUAUUCAAAUCAUGGUACAUGUAUUUGAAAACUGCAAUCAAAGACGCAGUUUAAUAGUUAUUUUAAAUUGAAUGUAACAAGGAAUGCAGAAUGUUUAUUUUGGUUUGUUAUGCUAUGCGUGUUCAAAGUUUAAUAAAUAAUAUAUUUAAUAUUUU